GCCAGGCGUGGUGGCGUGCGCCUGUAGUCCUAGCUACUCGGGGGCCUAAGACAGGAGAAUUACUUGAACCCAGGAGGCAGAGGUUGCAGUGAGCCGAGAUCACGCCACUGCACUCCAGCCUGGGUGACAGAGUGAGACUCUGUCUCAU
rnacentral:SRP_RNA from 1 species